AACGAACGCUGGCGGCGCGUCUUAAGCAUGCAAGUCGAACGGCAAGAUUUUGUAGCUUGCUACAAAAUCCUAGAGUGGCGGACUGGUGAGUAACACGUGGAUGACGUACCUUUCAGAUGGGGGAUAGCUACUAGAAAUAGUAGAUAAUACCGAAUACGACCACAGGGGUUAGAGACCUGUGAGGAAAGGAGCUAAGGCUCCGCUGAAAGAUUGGCCCGCGGCCCAUUAGCUAGUUGGUAGGGUAAAGGCCUACCAAGGCAAUGAUGGGUAUCCGGCCUGAGAGGGUGAUCGGACACAUUGGGACUGAGAUACGGCCCAGACUCCUACGGGAGGCAGCAGUGGGGAAUAUUGGCACAAUGGGGGAAACCCUGAAUGGCAGCAACGCCGCGUGAGUGAAGAAGUAUUUC
rnacentral:rRNA from 1 species